rnacentral:sRNA from 1 species
UUUCUUUUAAUAAAGACAUUAGAUACUACAUUGAACAAAAGAAAAAAGAGUUGUAUUUACUCAAGAAAUCAAGUACUUCAGUAAGAGAUGGGGGCAAAAGAGUUGGUAGUGGUGCACAAAAAACAAGAACAGGAAGACUCAAAAAGCCUUUUGUAAAGGUGGAAGAUAUGAGCCAACUUUAUAGGCCAUUUUAUCUUCAGCUGACCAAUAUGCCUUUUAUAAAUUAUUCUAUUCAGAAGCCCUGCAGUCCAUUUGAUGUAGACAAGCCAUCUAGUAUGCAAAAGCAAACUCAGGUUAAACUAAGAAUCCAAACAGAUGGCGAUAAGUAUGGUGGAACCUCAAUUCAACUCCAGUUGAAAGAGAAGAAGAAAAAAGGAUAUUGUGAAUGUUGCUUGCAGAAAUAUGAAGAUCUAGAAACUCACCUUCUAAGUGAGCAACACAGAAACUUUGCACAGAGUAACCAGUAUCAAGUUGUUGAUGAUAUUGUAUCUAAGUUAGUUUUUGACUUUGUGGAAUAUGAAAAGGACACACCUAAAAAGAAAAGAAUAAAAUACAGUGUUGGAUCCCUUUCUCCUG